rnacentral:rRNA from 1 species
GUGCCAGCCGCCGCGGUAAUACCGGCAGCCCAAGUGAUGGCCGCUGUUAUUGGGCCUAAAGCGUCCGUAGCUGGCCGCACGAGUCCGUCGGGAAAUCCGCCCGCUCAACGGGUGGGCGUCCGACGGAAACUGCACAGCUUGGGACCGGAAGGCUCGAAGGGUACGUUCGGGGUAGGAGUGAAAUCCCAUAAUCCCGCACGGACCACCGAUGGCGAAAGCACUUCGAGAAAACGGAUCCGACAGUGAGGGACGAAAGCUGGGAUCUCGAACCGGAUUAGAAACCCGAGUAGUCC